AGAGUUUGAUCCUGGCUCAGGAUGAACGCUGGCGGCGUGCCUAACACAUGCAAGUCGAGCGAUUCUCUUCGGAGAAGAGCGGCGGACGGGUGAGUAACGCGUGGGUAACCUGCCCUGUACACACGGAUAACAUACCGAAAGGUAUGCUAAUACGAGAUAAUAUGCUUUUAUCGCAUGGUAGAAGUAUCAAAGCUCCGGCGGUACAGGAUGGACCCGCGUCUGAUUAGCUAGUUGGUAAGGUAACGGGCUUACCAAGGCGACGAUCAGUAGCCGACCUGAGAGGGUGAUCGGCCACAUUGGAACUGAGACACGGUCCAAACUCCUACGGGAGGCAGCAGUGGGGAAUAUUGCACAAUGGGCGAAAGCCUGAUGCAGCAACGCCGCGUGAGCGAUGAAGGCCUUCGGGUCGUAAAGCUCUGUCCUCAAGGAAGAUAAUGACGGUACUUGAGGAGGAAGCCCCGGCUAACUACGUG
rnacentral:rRNA from 1 species